ensembl:snRNA U6 U6 spliceosomal RNA
GUGCUCACUUCGGCAGCACAUAUACUAAAACUGGAACGAUACAGAGAAGAUUAGCAAGGCCCCUGCGCAAGGAUGACACACAAAUUCGUGAAGCGUUCCAUAUUUUU